GCAAACAGCAACAGCUCGCAACUUGGAGAUCCUCCGAUUCAAAUGUGUUCUGGUUGGUUUUAGAUGUAUUAUUUAGUCUUUAUCCAUCACUAUGUUCAUUGUUGGAUUCAUCAGUAUUGUUGACUGUGAAUUUACUACAUGGAGAUACCAUUUUGUUUAAUAGACAGAGACAGCGGAUUCAUAACGACUUUGUAACAGAGCGGACUUCUGGUGGAUUUCUGGAUUUCUACUCUCAGGAAUUGGGAAGCCCGAGCUGCUUGCUUGUGUGUGUGUGUGGGUGUGUGGGUGUUUAGGUGACUGUGUGAAUAAUUGUGUGAGGAUUCCGCACGUCCAUCCUCAACAGUUAAUGCUGUCAGAGAGCAGAGAAGUGUGUUAUUGAGACACUUAGCGUGGAAACACACACACAGAACCCCCCCCCCAAACACACACACAGUGCUGUCACACACUGUCUGCCGAUGAGCUCUGUCAUGCAGUCGUUUCUCUCUCCAGUGAACAAGGCUAUUCUAGUAGCUCUGUUCAUCUUCGCCAUCCUCCUUAUCCUCUAUGUGAUCCUCUGGUACAUCUGUAGAGACGUGGACUGCGACCACGGUAUCUGAUCUGAUUAACACCGGGAACACCACCGAAUAACCUAACGGUGGAUAGAGACCCGUCUGAAAGAGGGUCACCCUGAGCUGCCCAGACAACAUGGCAGAGUUGGUAUAGUGACGGGAGGCAUCAGUGGAAUCUGCUUUGAGACCGCAAGACACAUGGCCAGCCUGGGGGCACACUUUAUCAUAGCUGGACAGCAGGAGCGGGAGGGUGUGUCUGCUGUGAAGAGGAUUCGUGAGGAGAACAGAGAGGCCAAAGGUCACAGUCCCCACAACCCUGUUUGGUUUUGUGUCUCCUUGGCUCUGGAUAUUACUGAUUGGCUGGAGAGUGAACACACCUUUUCAAAGUGGUGUUUGAGCAGUUGGAUUUGGCGUCUUUGCUGUCAGUAAGGCAAUUCAUCAAGACAUUCAAGAGAGGCUGUAUAGAAGAGGGUUCCCAGUGAGCUCAUGUGCAGUGGACCCUGGGAUGGUCGACACGUCGCUCUACCGCCACCUCUUCCCCCCCGGUCGUCUUGCACAGACAGCCAUCACACGCCUACUCUUUAGGGUACACACGGUACUAAUCCAGUAUCUAAAAAAAAGAGAGGACAUAAGUGAUAAUUCCCCAAACUAACUUGAGCAUCACUGACACUACUGUCAAAGUUUUCAGAAGAAAUCUGAAUGAUUUAUUCAAGAUGCUAAUUACAGAAUAAGUAUCUUAAAAUGUGUCCUGUGGCAUUUCACU